UUGUACACACCGCCCGUCACACCAUGAGAGUAUGUAACACCCAAAGCCGGUGGGAUAACCUUUAUAGGAGUCAGCCGUCUAAGGUAGGACAGAUGAUUAGGGUGAAGUCGUAACAAGGUAGCCGUAGAGAACCUGCGGCUGGAUCACCUCCUUUC
rnacentral:rRNA from 1 species